GUCAACGCCCCGAGGCAGUGCGGGGCGCCUUGUCGUGUCCGACUCUUUGCGACCCCAUGGACUGUAGCCUACCAGGCUCCUCUGUCCAUGGGAUUUUCCAGGCAAUAGUACUGGAGUGGAUUGCCAUUUUCUUCUCCAACGGAUCUUCCCGACCCAGGGAUCAAAAAAAUAAUAAUAAUAAUACACCAUCUCAAAGCUGAGAAUUGUGUUUUAAUUUGAGGACUUGCUGAAGACAAGCUCAGGAGGUAUCCUCUCAGAUCUUUCUGAGGGACUUUUCAGAAGACAUAAAGGAAGGGCCGUGAUAUAUAGGGUUUUUUGCAACAAAAAAGAAGAUUAGAACAUCAAAAGAUGACAGUAAUUUAAAGAAAACCAGACAUUACAAGUUAAUGAAUUUAGCGCUUUUCUAUGUGUGGGAAAAUCUAAAAGUCUGAGUUCUAUCCCUGGGUCGGGAAGAUUGCCUGGAGGAGGAAAUGGCAACCCACUCCAGAAUUCUUGCCUGGAGAAUUCCAUGGACAGAGGAGGCUGGAGGGCUACGGUCCAUGGGGUCAUAAAGACUCAGACACGACUGAGGAAAUACCAUUCCAUUGCAUUCUGUAGGAAUUAAUGACAGGAUGAGCCUGUGUGUCCUGAGAAAGGGAAAAUAUUUAUAUCCAAGUUGAUGCUGUUGUAGACCCACAGCCCUCGUCCUUGACGAAGCCCACCUUGGGCUCUCAGUGUUCCCCCCCGUGGCUGGAACCUCACACUUGCUGGGGACGCUGUUUAGAAUAUGUGAGACACAACAGAGCGCACUGUCCGGUGUACAGAAUUCUGUUUUUCUUCAUCCUAAAACCCUCAGGGAGCACCGUUGGGGUGUCUGCAGCGGCCAAGGGCUUGGCGGCCUCGACAUCCUUUGGUUACCGAUACGGCAGACGAUGUUCUGUUCACAUUGUGUGGCCGAUACCGCAGACGGUGUUCUGUCCACAUUGUGUGGCUAAAGAUAAAAACGGGAGUAUCCUGGGUCACGAGAGGGCCACCACACGGGAAUCCUGUGCAGUUGGGAAGCUGAUGCUUGUGUGUGCACGUUGUCAGUUCUGUGAAAGUGUUAGUCACUCAGUCAUCUCUGACUCUUUGCAAUUCCAUGAACUUUAGUCCCCCAGGCUCCUCUGUCCAUGGGAUUCUCCAGGCAAGAAUACUGGAGUGGGUUGCCAUUCCUUCUUCAGGGGAUCUUCCUGACCCAGGGAUCGAACCCGGGUCUCCUGCCUUACAGGCAGAUUCUUUACCAUCUGAGCCACCAGGGAAGCCCAUGUCAGUUCUGGAGGGAAGCAAAUAUUAAUACGUGUUUCUGUUUGCAUUUAUCACACAUAGACAUCUUCUCAGAGCACAAACAGGCUUUUCACUCUGGGUCUGUAAAUGAGCUGCCACUCAUCCGUGUGGUUUUGUGUGUGUUUGGGGGGGGAUGGGAUUUUUCAGUCCCUGCACAAGACGGCUUUAUACCCUGGGGUCUGCAAGGCCUGUGCGUCUGCCAGCAGAACAUUAACAAACUCCAGGAGGGAAACAGAACCUCCUUCAGUCUGUGCGGUGGGGCGGGAGCCUGCCCCAGGGGACAGAGAGGUGCUGUGAGCUGGAGGCUGCUGGGGUCUGAGAUGGGCACAGCCACAGCUAAGCGGGGGCAGGACCCUGCUGAUAAUAGAAGUGUAAGCUCUGCUGGCUGCAUCUGCCUCCCAGGGGUGGCCGGCGGUCUCAGGGCAGAGGGUGGGGGUGAAGAGGAAGAUUCUAGAAGCCAAGGACAAAUUGGCACUUGCCAUCUCAUCUGAAAAAGCAGAGACAUCACUUUGCCGACAAAGGUCCAUCUAGUCAAAGCUAUGGCUUUCCCAGUAGUCUAGUACGGAUGUGAGACUUGGACCAUAAAGAAGGCUGAGCUCUGAAGAACUGAUGCUUUUGAACCAUGAUGUUGGAGAAGACUCUUGAGUGUCCUUUGGACUACAAGGAGAUCAAACCAGUCAAUCCCAAAGGAAAUCAGUCCUGAAUAUUCAUUGGAAGUAGUGACUAAUGCUGAAGCUGAAACUCAGAUACUUUGGCCACCUGUUGUGUGAAAACACGCUGAUGCUGGGAAAGAUUGAAGGCAGGAGAAGGGGAUGGCAGAUGAUGAGAUGGUUGGAUGGCAUCACUGACUCAAUGGAUAUAAGUUUGAACAAUCCCUGGGAGAUUGUGAAGCACAGGGAACCCUGGCGUUCUGCAGUUCAUGGGGUGAAAAAGAGUUGGACACGACUUUAGUGACUGAACAACAGCAACUGGCAGUAAGGACUUGGUGCCUUCACCCCUGUGGUUUCAGUCCCCAGUUGGGGCACUAAGAUUCCACAAGCAGUAUGGUGUGGAAAUUAAAAAAAUUAAAAAAACUAAUCUUUUUUGGUUAGUGUGCAUUUUGAUAAGCAUCCAAAGAAUAAGAAUGUUGAAUGAAAUAGAAAAAAUGACAUGAACUCACCCCUGUUCCAGCCAAAUUUUAGCAUAAAAUUUGAAAAAUCCCAAAUUUCAGCAUAAAAUUAAAAAUAAAAAACAAUUUCUAAAAUAAAAUUUGAAAAUUGCAAAAUUUUAGUAUAAGAUAAAAAUUCUAAAAAAAGAUUGGGGAGCGUGCAAAUAACCUGCCCUUUUAUCCACAUGAAUGAGUUUUACAGAAGUUACGUGUGUUCCUGGUUUUGUAGUGUUUCUAAUGAAACUGUCCACACAGCCAAUGAUGGUCUCCAUUCAGUAUACCCAUUGUAAGCGUGGACCCAGGACCCUGACCUAUUAAGGGACUUUGACCCUGCCCUGUUCUGUUCUUUUUGUUUGUCCAGGGGCGGUCACGGUUGUGAUCAGUUGUAACUUCUCACCCUCAGCUUACCGACUCUCUCGGUCCCUCGUCUUUUAAUUUACUGACAGUUUGUUAUGCUGGGACGUGGCAUAACUAAAUGGGCUAACAUUGGGUCAUCUGAGUGUGUGCUACAUGCCCAAGAAUGUGGAUAAAUAACACGGUCCAUGAUCUCGGAGAUCUGGUAGUGUAAUGGCAUGGGAGAGGGGAAUCAUUUACUUAGAUACUUCAGCGUUCAAUUACAUGGUAUGAUGCAGAAAGACGACAGAGAAACAUAGGGAGAGAGGACAGGCUUGGGAAUGGGGCAGUGCUGUUGAAGCAGAGUCUUUAAGGAUGACUAAUAGCCUUAAGGGGUUUCCCGCGAGGUGCUGGUGGUCAGGAACCCGCCUGCCAGUGCAGCAGACAUGAGACCCGGGUUCCAUCCCUGGGGCGGGAAGAUCCCCUGGAUCGGGGCAUGGCAACCCGCUCCAGUAUUCUUGCCUAGAGAAUCCCAUGGACACAGGAGCCUGGUGGGCUACAGUCCGUGGAGUCGCAGAGUCAGACACGACUGAGUGAGCAGGCACUCCAGAGGACAGGAAGAGGACAGGCCUGCGGGCAGCGGCCUCAGACGGCGCCGGGCUCCUUCCAUCACUGCUCACCUGGGUCACACGUCGAAGGGGACCCCAGACAGAUGCCCCUCUGUGCUGGUUCCCCCACCCUCACUGCCACCUGUUUGUCAACAAAAAGUCCGUCAGUAAAUGCUCUUGUUAGGGUUUCAUGUGUGCUCUGAAUUACCUCCCUGACAAGCCCCGCCGGUUCACCCUCCCCUCCCUGCCCCCAGCUCCAUUUCAAGGUUUUUUGAUGAUACAGAAAAGACUUUGGUAUUUGGAUAAUAAAAUUUUCUGACUUGCC
ensembl:lncRNA